GAUACCCGUCACCUUUGUGACUCCGCCGCCCAGUUCGAGGGUCGACACGUUGUCCCCGUUCAAGACCGGGGCGUCAUUAAUGCUCGUUACGGUGAGCGACGCGGUCUGGCUGUCUUCCGAGAACGGAGCNACCAUGGUGUUGACGGCCUGGCCAUGCGAGCCGGAGCUCUGGUCCCAAGCGACAUAGGUCAGCGUGUCAGUGCCGCCGUUCUCUCCGUUCGGAACGAAACGAACCUUGUCA
rnacentral:misc_RNA from 1 species